rnacentral:lncRNA from 1 species
AGUCCAAAUAAAUUAAAGUUGUGAUUUUAAAUAACUGCAAAUCAAUGAUUCCAAAAAUGUUAUCUGUGGCCCAGACCUGGACUCCUGAUGUGUCUGUACAGCUCCAUCUGGAAUCUAACAAGUGUAUCAACUCUUGCUCAUCUGAAACUGGGAUUACAGAAGAGACCGUGUGGCGGAGGAACUGAGUUUGUGGUGGUGGAACAUCCAGGAAGUCUCUUCCGGAAGGACUGUUUGGAAAAUUGGCAAGGGGAAAUUCACACUUCGGGAUUGCGAGAGCGGCCAGGACAACAACAUCUAAACGAGAGUAUCAAAGAAAAGAAUGCAGAAAAUGGAAAAAGAAGGCAGAAUAAAGAAGCUUCAGACACAGAGAGGGCAAUGCCAGUAAUAAAUACGAAAUUGCAGGACUUGUCAAAGAGAAGCGAUGCGCGUUACAGCUUCUGUGACUGUUUUCUCCGUCCAAGCACCUGCUGUCAACCUAAAACAGCAUCAUCCCAAUAAAACAUUCAGCAAGGUCUGAAGAUGUUUUUCCUUUGUCAUGGUUUGGGGAGUGAGGGUGGUGCUUGGAAGGAAAUGCCACUGGCAUUGAAUGGGGGAAGCCAGGGACACUGCCCAUGUUGUCCUGUGGGCCACUGUCAUGGGAUUGAAUGGGGGAACCCAGGGACACUGCCUGUACUGUCCUGUGGGCCAUCGUCAUGGGAUUGAAUGGGAGGAGGCCAGGGACACUGCCUGUACUGUCCUGUGGGCCACUGUCAUGGGAUUGAAUGGGGGAACCCAGGGACACUGCCUGUACUGUCCUGUGGGCCAUCGUCAUGGGAUUGAAUGGGGUAAGCCAGGGACACUGCCUGUACUGUCCUGUGGGCCAUCAUGGGAUUGAAUGAAGGAACCCAGGGACACUGCCUGUACUGUCCUGUGGGCCAUCGUCAUGGGAUUGAAUGGGGUAAGCCAGGGACACUGCCUGUACUGUCCUGCGGGCCAUCGUCAUGGGAUUGAAUGAGGGAACCCAGGGACCUGCCUGUACUGUCCUGCGGGCCAUCGUCAUGGGAUUGAAUGGGAGGAGGCCAGGGACACUGCCUGUACUGUCCUGUGGGCCAUCGUCAUGGGAUUGAAUGGGG